UACGAAGGGGGCUAGCGUUGCUCGGAAUUACUGGGCGUAAAGGGCGCGUAGGCGGACAGUUUAGUCAGAGGUGAAAGCCCAGGGCUCAACCUUGGAAUUGCCUUUGAUACUGGCUGUCUUGAGUUCGGGAGAGGUGAGUGGAAUGCCGAGUGUAGAGGUGAAAUUCGUAGAUAUUCGGCGGAACACCAGUGGCGAAGGCGGCUACCUGGACCGGUUCUGACGCUGAGGCGCGAAAGCGUGGGUAGCAAACAGG
rnacentral:rRNA from 1 species